rnacentral:rRNA from 1 species
UUAUCGGAGAGUUUGAUCCUGGCUCAGGACGAACGCUGGCGGCGUGCCUAAUACAUGCAAGUCGAGCGGACAGAUGGGAGCUUGCUCCCUGAUGUUAGCGGCGGACGGGGGAGUAACACGUGGGUAACCUGCCUGU